rnacentral:rRNA from 1 species
UACGGAGGGUGCAAGCGUUGUCCGGAAUCACUGGGCGUAAAGGGCGCGUAGGCGGCCUGAUAAGUAGGGGGUGAAAUCCUGCGGCUUAACCGCAGGGCUGCCUUCUAAACUGUCGGGCUAGAGCACGGUAGAGGCAGAUGGAAUUCCCGGUGUAGCGGUGGAAUGCGUAGAGAUCGGGAAGAACAUCAGUGGCGAAGGCGGUCUGCUGGGCCGUUGCUGACGCUGAGGCGCGACAGCGUGGGGAGCAAACAGG